AUGGCAAGGUCCGCCAUGUCCGGGCUAGUGCUCCUGCUGCUCUGUGCAACCUGCAGGUUGGCGCUAGGAAUCACCGAUGGGCUGCUGGCCAACGGCAACUUCGAGCGCGGGCCGCAGCCGUCGCAGCUGCGCGGGACGCAGGUGGUGGGCGCGUCGUCGAUCCCGUCGUGGCGGACGUCGGGGUUCGUGGAGUACAUCCCGUCGGGGCGGAAGCAGGGGGACAUGGUGCUGGUCGUCCCCGAGGGCGCCUACGCCGUGCGCCUGGGCAACGAGGCGUCCAUCGCGCAGCGCCUCCGCGGGGCCGUCCCCGGCGCGCGCUACAGCCUCACCUUCAGCGCGGCGAGGACGUGCGCGCAGGCGGAGCGCCUCAACGUGUCCGCGUCCGGCCAGUCCGGCGUGCUGGUCAUGCAGACCAUGUACAGCAGCAACGGCUGGGACUCCUACUCCUGGGCCUGGGACGCCACCGCCGACGAGGUCGAGGUCGUCGUCCACAACCCCGGUGUCACCGAGGACCCCGCCUGCGGCCCCCUCAUCGACUCUGUCGCCAUCAAGACCCUCACCCCGCCCCGCCGCACCAACAAGAACCUGGUGAAGAAUGGUGAUUUCGAGGAGGGGCCGUACAUCAUCCCCGGGACCAAGUGGGGGGUGCUGAUCCCGUCGCGGAUGGUGGACGAGCACUCGCCGCUGCCGGGUUGGAUGGUGGAGUCGCUCAAGGCCGUCAAGUACAUCGACAGCGACCACUUCGCGGUGCCGCGGGGGCGCCGGGCCGUGGAGCUGCUGGCGGGGAGGGAGAGCGCGAUCGCACAGGUGAUCCGCACCGUGCCGGGGAAGCAGUACGCGCUGUCCUUCAGCGUGGGCGACGCCAGCAACACGUGCCGCGGGUCGCUCAUGGUGGAGGCCUACGCCGGCAGGGAGUCCACCAAGGUGCCGUACGAGUCGGCGGGGCAGGGCGGCGCCGCCAAGCGGGCCGUGCUCCCGUUCCGCGCCACGUCGUCUCGCACGCGCGUCGUCUUCUUCAGCUCCUUCUACAAUACCAUGACUGACGACAUGAGCUCGCUCUGCGGGCCGGUGAUCGACGACGUCGCCGUCGUCAGCGUGCGCGCCCGGCCGCCAAAGCGCCCCUAG
rnacentral:rRNA from 1 species